GACAGAGGGUGCAAACGUUGCUCGGAAUUACUGGGCGUAAAGCGCGUGUAGGCGGGCUUGCAAGUCAGAUGUGAAAUCCCCGGGCUCAACCCGGGAACUGCAUUUGAAACUGCAAGCCUUGAGUAUCGGAGAGGAAAGCGGAAUUCCUGGUGUAGAGGUGAAAUUCGUAGAUAUCAGGAGGAACACCGGUGGCGAAGGCGGCUUUCUGGACGAUAACUGACGCUGAGACGCGAAAGCGUGGGGAGCAAAC
rnacentral:rRNA from 1 species